AUCUUGAGACAAGAUCUCGCUCUGUCUGUUUGGCUAGAAUGCAGUGGCAUAAUCCCAGCUCGCUGCAACCUCAAUCUCCAGGGCUCAAGCGACCCUCCCACCUUGGACUCCCAAAGAGUGCUAAGAUUACAGGCAUGAGCCACUAUGCCCAGCUGGCAUUUAUUUUCUUAAAGAAAAAAAAAAUCUAAAUACUUGGGGGAAAUGGGAGUUGAGCAAAAGACUGACACUAACAGCAGAAUGAAUCAUUUUUAUAUCUUCUUUACCUUCUUUACUGGGAAAGGUGGCUGGCUCAGCAGGGAAGGAGUGUAUGAGGAGACUGUGUAAAAUGUGUCUUGUCGCGUUGUUGGUAAGCCGCUAAGCAAAUGUCUUUAACAUUAAUUUGAAAUUAGGUCUUGACAAAAUCUUGAGAAAUUAAAACAGGAAAAUAGAUAUUUGUACUCUAGGAUGAUAAUUAAAAUUGUAAUAUGAAGAGUAAAUUGAGGGGUCAUAUUGAAAGGGAAUAAUAGUAGAAGACAAAAAGAAAACAAGGAACCAAACAAAACUUCAGCUCCUCUAAUGGCAUGCACAGAACAUAGAAGUUUCUGAUGAAGGAACUGGCAAAAAAGACAGAAAAGGAACUGCUGGGGUAAAAUGGCAACAUGCUGGGAGAACACAGGUUUGCAGCUCUUGUGGGAGAAAUACUUUCAAGAAGAAAGAAGUAGUUAAUAAUGCAAAAUACUCAGGUGAGCACCAGGGAAUAAAGGAUGGAGAAAUAUUUUGAAUUUUUCAGGACAAUAUUUAGUGUGAGUAAAUUUAGAAGGCACAAAAACUGAACAGCUGAAAUGAUCUGUGAGAAGAUAGAUAUUGUCAUGGACUGAAGACCAAGGUUACAUGGAAAGAGAAAUGGACUGGAUAAUAGUUGAAAAGAUUAGACAGCAAACAUGUUUUUCUUUUAAGAAAAGAUAAGAAGAUUGAUUGAGGUCAAAGUGCAAUGAGUCAAGGAUAGUGACAACUGGAAGAACAGGAAGCAGUUUGGCGGUGGCGGAUAGGUGAGGCACAAGGACGUCAGCACUGGAUUCAGACAAACCGGGUUUGGAUCUUGUGUCUGCUACU
rnacentral:lncRNA from 10 species